GAGUUUGAUCCUGGCUCAGAACGAACGCUGGCGGCGUGCCUAACACAUGCAAGUCGAACGUGAUCCAGAGCUUGCUCUGGUGAAAGUGGCGCACGGGUGAGUAACGCGUGGAUAACCUACCCUGGUAUCCGGGAUAACAUUCCGAAGGGGUGCUAAUACCGGAUAAGCCCACGGGCUCUUUGGAGCUUGCGGGAAAAGGUGGCCUCUAUUUAUAAGCUACUGUAUCAGGAUGGGUCCGCGUACCAUUAGCUAGUUGGCGGUGUAACGGACCACCAAGGCGACGAUGGUUAGCUGGUCUGAGAGGAUGAUCAGCCACACUGGAACUGAGACACGGUCCAGACUCCUACGGGAGGCAGCAGUGGGGAAUUUUGCGCAAUGGGGGAAACCCUGACGCAGCAACGCCGCGUGAGUGAUGAAGGCCUUUGGGUCGUAAAGCUCUGUCAGAGGGGAAGAAAUGAUAUAGUGCUAAUACCACUUUAUCUUGACGGUACCCUCAAAGGAAGCACCGGCUAACUCCGUGCCAGCAGCCGCGGUAAUAC
rnacentral:rRNA from 1 species